rnacentral:rRNA from 1 species
UACGUAGGGGGCAAGCGUUUGUCCGGAAUUAUUGGGCGUAAAGAGCGUGUAGGCGGUCCGGUAAGUCAGCUGUGAAAGUCAAGGGCUCAACCCUUGAAAGCCGGUUGAUACUGUCGGGCUAGAGUCCGGAAGAGGCGAGUGGAAUUCCCGGUGUAGCGGUGAAAUGCGCAGAUAUCUGGAGGAACACCGGUGGCGAAGGCGGCAUCCUGGACCAACACUGACGCUGAGGAGCGAAAGCCAGGGGAGCAAACGGG